AAUGGGCGGAAGCCUGAUCCAGCCAUGCCGCGUGAAGGACGAAGGCGCUCAGCGUUGUAAACUUCUUUUGGAUGGGGACAAUAACCCCGACUUGUCGGGGCUUGAGGGUACCAUCAGAAUAAGCACCGGCUAACUCCGUGCCAGCAGCCGCGGUAAUACGGAGGGUGCAAGCGUUAUCCGGAAUCACUGGGUUUAAAGGGUGCGUAGGCGGCCCGAUAAGUCAGUCGUGAAAUCGCUGGGCUCAACCCAUGCAAUUGCGAUUGAUACUGUCGGGCUUGAAUGGGGUUGAGGCUGGCGGAAUGCGGCAUGUAGCGGUGAAAUGCUUAGAUAUGCCGCAGAACACCGAUUGCGAAGGCAGCCAGCUGGGCCUUUAUUGACGCUGAGGCACGAAAGCGUGGGGAGCAAA
rnacentral:rRNA from 1 species